rnacentral:rRNA from 1 species
AGCGAACGCUGGCGGCAGGCUUAACACAUGCAAGUCGAACGGAACCUUCGGGGUUUGUGGCGGACCGGUGAGUACCACGUGGUAACGUGCCUUUAGGUUCCGAAUACCUCCUGGAAGCGUGAGGUAAUGACGCUUGUGCCCAUCGCGGGUAAGAGUUAUCGCUUUUUGAGCGGCCCGCGUCUGAUUAGCUGGUUGGUGAGGGAACGGCGCACCAAGGCGACGCUCAUGAGCUGGUCUGAGAGGAUGACCAGCCACACUGGGACUGAGGCACGGCCCAGACUGCGACGGGAGGGAGCAGUGGGGUGUCCUGCGCAAUGAGGGAAAGUCUGACGCAGCCAUGUCGCGUGAAUGAUGAAGGUCGUAGGAUUCUAAAAUUCUUUCUCCCGGGGCGUGAAUGACGGUACCGGGAGAAGAAGCCCCGGCUAACUUCGUG